rnacentral:rRNA from 1 species
GACGAACGCUGGCGGCGUGCUUAACACAUGCAAGUCGAACGGAAAGGCCCUGCUUUUGUGGGGUGCUCGAGUGGCGAACGGGUGAGUAACACGUGAGUAACCUGCCCUUGACUUUGGGAUAACCUCAGGAAACUGGGGCUAAUACCGGAUAGGAGCUCCUGCUGCAUGGUGGGGGUUGGAAAGUUUCGGCGGUUGGGGAUGGACUCGCGGCUUAUCAGCUUGUUGGUGGGGUAGUGGCUUACCAAGGCUUUGACGGGUAGCCGGCCUGAGAGGGUGACCGGCCACAUUGGGACUGAGAUACGGCCCAGACUCCUACGGGAGGCAGCAGUGGGGAAUAUUGCACAAUGGGCGGAAGCCUGAUGCAGCAACUCCGCGUGCGGGAUGACGGCCUUCGGGUUGUAAACCGCUUUCGCCUGUGACGAAGCGUGAGUGACGGUAAUGGGUAAAGAAGCACCGGCUAACUACGUG